GGCAGCUACCGUAUCCAGGAUAUUUUGGCUUCACUUUUGCACAGUUGGAGGAAGUGGAGACGCGUCGUCCAUCUGUACAUAUUCAGUGUGUGGUCCAUGCUGCUGUGCUGCUGAAUAUGAGUGCGGGUUGCCGUAGAAACAUCACAGGGUUCGACAGAGGCGCUGCUCAUCAUGACCACACUGGAGAUGAUCAACAUCUGGAGAGAAAAGACCCUCCAGCCUCGUUUACUCCAGAGCCUGCUGGUAGCAUCAAGUGACAGUGAUAGUUGUGAAAGGGGGAGAGAGAGGGUAUGACCUGCAGCAAAGGGCCACGGGCCGCUACGGUAAGGACUCAACCUUGGUACAUGGGACGCCCACUUUACCAGGGAAUAUAAACAGAGACUCACGCACAACACAGAGCCGAUGGAGGGAUGAGACAGGCGGUUGAAAAUGGAGGGAUCUUCAAGUUAAACAACAGGAUUUCACAGACACUCCUGGAGGCUUUGUCGCCUAGCAGUGCCCAUAGGUCUCUUGAUUGAACAGCUGCCGUAUCAACUCAGGGGCCACAGCGGUGGCUAUUUGCAGCUGAGAGGUACCUCCGCCGAUAAAUCUCCUGACACAGAUAAAGAGGAAGACACAUGUAACACACAAACACAACCCUCUCACAUCCGGCACACUACUUCAAUCCAGUGUUCUGUGUUGGAUGAACUGGAGCUUUACCUCACACACAUUUUUGGCUACACACAUAGCCUACAUAUAUUUGAAAUACAGAAGUCCCUCAGCGACGAGAGCUUCUUUUUUAUAUUUGAUGUGAGAUGACAGCAGGAAGCCCCUUUAGGGCCGCGAUACAUGGACAUCAAUUUCAGGCACUGUGGAUUUACAUGCGCAGCACUUCCUGCAACAUGCUGCAUGGGACAAAGGCGAAAUUACUAACAUUGGGUUAUGAGAUACAAAUAUAACAUGAAAAGAUGCUUUAGGCUGCAGUUGUGUGACAGAAUUAUUCAUAAUGUUUUAUGAUGGCAUUAAGACCAAUAACGUGUACUUUUAACACUCGUUAUUCUGUGUUUCAGGUAAAUUUUGUGAAUGUGUUGCAAAAGACAAAAACAAAAUGCAAUUUAUUUGUUUUUCCUCAUACCUGCCUUUCAAUGUCAGACCACUACACAAGACAACAAUCAACCAGUCCGUCAGUCAGUCAGUCAGUCAGUCAGUCCGUCAUCCGGUAGUCUGUCAGUCAGUCUGUCAGUCCGUCAAUCUGUCCGUCAGUCAGUC